GUCGAAUUUGUAGGUUUGGUUAAGGUUAAUAUCAUUAGAGGCACGAACCUAGCUGUUCGAGAUAUGAUGACGAGUGAUCCAUAUGUCAUCCUGACAUUGGGACACCAAUCGAUGAAAACACGGGUGAUAAAGAGUAGUUUAAAUCCUGUAUGGAAUGAAAGGCUGAUGUUGUCGAUUCCAGAUCCUAUCCCUCCUUUAAAGCUACAAGUGUAUGACAAGGACACAUUCACAACAGAUG
rnacentral:misc_RNA from 1 species